ACAUCUGGGCAAUCGCUGGGAAACCAGAGGAAAGUCCAUGCUCGCACAGUCUGAGAUGACUGUAGUGUUUGUGCUAAAUGAAACCAUAAAUUUAGGCAGCUUUAGCUGACGGCUGACUAGUUCUAAGGUGAAAACGAUGAACGAUGUCCGUAAAAGUGCCACAGUGACGAUGUUAUUGGAAACAAUAAAGUGGAACGGGUAAACCCCACAAGCGAGAAACCCAAAUUUGGUAGGGGAACUUCAAGUCUUGAAUUCAAAAGACAAGAAGACACGCAAGUGUAGAUAAAUGAUUGCCGCCUGCGGGUACAGAACAUGGCUUAUAGGA
rnacentral:RNase_P_RNA from 1 species